rnacentral:rRNA from 1 species
AUACGGAGGAUGCGAGCGUUAUCCGGAUUUAUUGGGUUUAAAGGGUGCGCAGGCGGCCAUUUAAGUCAGCGGUUAAAUCGUGGGGCUCAACCCCAUUCUGCCGUUGAUACUGGGUGGCUUGAUUGCGGUCGAGGUUGGCGGACUUCGUUGUGUAGCGGUGAAAUGCAUAGAUAUGACGAAGAACACCGAUUGCGUAGGCAGCUGACCAGACCGCAAAUGACGCUCAUGCACGAAAGUGCGGGGAUCGAACAGGAUUAGAUACCCUGGUAGUCCGCACAGUAAACGAUGAAUACUUGUUUUCGGCGAUAUAAUGUCGGAGGCAAAGCGAAAGCGAUAAGUAUUCCACCUGGGGAGUACGCCGGCAACGGUGAAACUCAAAGGAAUUGACGGGG